CCUACGGGAGGCAGCAGUGAGGAAUAUUGGUCCAUGGACGCAAGUCUGAACCAGCCAUGCCGCGUGCAGGAAGACGACUCUAUGAGUUGUAAACUGCUUUUGUACGAGGGUAAACGCAGAUACGCGUAUCUGUCUGAAAGUAUCGUACGAAUAAGGAUCGGCUAACUCCGUGCCAGCAGCCGCGGUAAUACGGAGGAUUCAAGCGUUAUACGGAUUUAUUGGGUUUAAGGGGUGCGUAGGCGGUCGGAUAAGUUAGAGGUGAAAUCCCGCGGCUCAACUUCGGAAGUGCCUCUGAUACGGUUCGGCUAGAGAGUAGUUGCGGUAGGCGGAAUGUAUGGUGUAGCGGGGAAAUGCUUAGAGAUCAUACAGAACACCGAUUGCGAAGGCAGCUUACCAAGCUACUUCUGACGUUGAGGCACGAAAGCGUGGGGAGCAAACAGGAGUAGAUACCCUUGUAGUC
rnacentral:rRNA from 1 species